AUAAUGGUAAAAAUUGUGCUACGAAAUGGAGAUUUUUGCAUUUCCCUAAAGAUAAAACAGUAGUAAAACAAUGGAUUCAUUUUUGUCGUCGUACGGACAAAAUUAAUGUUAAAAAUGCAUGCAUUUGUGAAGUGCACUUCGUGCCAGAAGCCAUCGAAAGAAACUUGCAGUUUGAAAUGGGUAAUUAUAGGAUUUUGAUUACAAUAAUUUUACUUUUAUAACCAAACACUCUUGCAGGUUUAAGUUCGCGGAAUCCAACUAAGUUGCUACCUAGCGCUUUUCCCACGUUAACCACUGCUCCUGCAGAGGCUAAUGAACGUCAGAAAAGGAUGGAGUCUCGUUCUAAAAAAGAGAUGUUAACAAAAAUGUUGAAGAAUACCGCCCCUGUUGAAGUAAUUCAAGAAUACGAGGUUGGAGAGGCACCUUAAACUGCAGGAGAAGAGGUCAUCGAUGAGAAAGACGAGAAAAUACUGCAUUUGGAAACAGAAAUACAAAGGCUGAACAGUGUUGUUAGAACUUUGAAUAAGUGCAAAAAUGAGCAGUCAGCAGAAGUUAAACGCCUUAGGAUUUCCAUUAAAACCUCGGAAUUCCACAGAAAUAAUUUGGAGCAAAAACUUAGCUGCAUUUUUACCAACGGCCUGAUUGAAAAAUUAAGGGAUGGAAAUAAACGGCGGAAUUGGAAAGAAGAAGACAUAGCUAAGUCGACCACGCUAUAUUCAACGAGCCCGAAAGCGUAGAAACUUUUACGGAGAAACAACUUUCCUCUACCAGGUGUGCGCACUUUGCAAUGGUGGUCAAAGAAAAUUGACGUAGCUCCAGGUGUCAUAGAGCCGGUGAUGAAACUGUUGAAGGCAGCAACUGAGCUAACACAAGCGCAAAAAAUUUGUGUACUCAGUUUUGAUGAAAUGAAGAUCAGAAAGAGUUACUGUUACGAUAGAUCCACUGAUUCCACAUUGCCUCCUGUUAACUACGUUCAGGUGGCAAUGAUAAGAGGUUUGAUAAGUAAAUGGAAACACCCUGUAUUCUUCGUGUAUGAUUGCAAAAUGACGAAGGAAGUACUGUUUAGCAUUUUGUCAAGCCUUAAAAAGUGCGGUUACAAUAUUGUUGCCAUUGUAAGCGAUUUAGGUAGAUCAAAUAGAGCCCUGUCAACCAUGAGCGGGUAAAACACCAGAUAAUUAGCGGGUAACAUGGUGGUAA